CGAGCGGACAGAUGGGAGCUUGCUCCCUGAUGUUAGCGGCGGACGGGUGAGUAACACGUGGGUAACCUGCCUGUAAGACUGGGAUAACUCCGGGAAACCGGGGCUAAUACCGGAUGGUUGUUUGAACCGCAUGGUUCAGACAUAAAAGGUGGCUUCGGCUACCACUUACAGAUGGACCCGCGGCGCAUUAGCUAGUUGGUGAGGUAACGGCUCACCAAGGCAACGAUGCGUAGCCGACCUGAGAGGGUGAUCGGCCACACUGGGACUGAGACACGGCCCAGACUCCUACGGGAGGCAGCAGUAGGGAAUCUUCCGCAAUGGACGAAAGUCUGACGGAGCAACGCCGCGUGAGUGAUGAAGGUUUUCGGAUCGUAAAGCUCUGUUGUUAGGGAAGAACAAGUGCCGUUCAAAUAGGGCGGCACCUUGACGGUACCUAACCAGAAAGCCACGGCUAACUACGUGCCAGCAGCCGCGGUAAUACGUAGGUGGCAAGCGUUGUCCGGAAUUAUUGGGCGUAAAGGGCUCGCAGGCGGUUUCUUAAGUCUGAUGUGAAAGCCCCCGGCUCAACCGGGGAGGGUCAUUGGAAACUGGGGAACUUGAGUGCAGAAGAGGAGAGUGGAAUUCCACGUGUAGCGGUGAAAUGCGUAGAGAUGUGGAGGAACACCAGUGGCGAAGGCGACUCUCUGGUCUGUAACUGACGCUGAGGAGCGAAAGCGUGGGGAGCGAACAGGAUUAGAUACCCUGGUAGUCCACGCCGUAAACGAUGAGUGCUAAGUGUUAGGGGGUUUCCGCCCCUUAGUGCUGCAGCUAACGCAUUAAGCACUCCGCCUGGGGAGUACGGUCGCAAGACUGAAACUCAAAGGAAUUGACGGGGGCCCGCACAAGCGGUGGAGCAUGUGGUUUAAUUCGAAGCAACGCGAAGAACCUUACCAGGUCUUGACAUCCUCUGACAAUCCUAGAGAUAGGACGUCCCCUUCGGGGGCAGAGUGACAGGUGGUGCAUGGUUGUCGUCAGCUCGUGUCGUGAGAUGUUGGGUUAAGUCCCGCAACGAGCGCAACCCUUGAUCUUAGUUGCCAGCAUUCAGUUGGGCACUCUAAGGUGACUGCCGGUGACAAACCGGAGGAAGGUGGGGAUGACGUCAAAUCAUCAUGCCCCUUAUGACCUGGGCUACACACGUGCUACAAUGGGCAGAACAAAGGGCAGCGAAACCGCGAGGUUAAGCCAAUCCCACAAAUCUGUUCUCAGUUCGGAUCGCAGUCUGCAACUCGACUGCGUGAAGCUGGAAUCGCUAGUAAUCGCGGAUCAGCAUGCCGCGGUGAA
rnacentral:rRNA from 1 species